ACAGUUUUUGAAGGGUUUAGUUCUUUGUUUUAUUUCUGUGUCACUGACCUUUUUCAUUUUUAUGUGUGGAUUUGUUAGGCGCAUCAACACAUGAAAUAGACAUCGUGUCCAAAAGAAGAGCGAGACGUAAUCCUGAGGCUGAAGCCACCGAGUUUAUUUGAUCUGGAUGUGACAAGUCUUGUUUUAAGGCCCAGUGGAUCAAUGAUUGGAAAGACACCAACUGUUGAUGUUCUAUCUCAACAUUCUCCAGAUUCAUGUGAGCAAUAAACCGACUUCAUCCCUCCAACAGACACCAACUGUUGGGGUUCUAUCUCAACAUUCUCCAGAUUCAGAUGUGAGCGAUAAACCGACUUCAUCCCUCCAACAGAAACCAACUGUUGAGGUUCCAUCUCAACAUUCUCCGGAUUCAGAUGUGAGCCAUUAACUGACUUCAUCCCUCCAACAGAAACCAACUGUUUGAGGUUCUAUCUCAACAUUCUCUAGAUUCAGAUGACAGCCAUAAACCGACUUCAUCCCUCCAACAGAUUGACAGCAGGACAAAUCGCUGGAAGUAGGUAUGUCUCAAGCUUCUUCCACUUGGUCCACUCCAAAGCGGGCUGCAAAGGGGAAGAAGUGGAAGCAGUUGAAUGACACAUGUUGCAUUUUGUAACUGGCAACAAAGUACCAGGUAAAAAAGAUUGUGAAGCCUGCCUCCAUAAAGAACUAGUAGCUCUACAGGACAGAGAUUGGCUUGCCAUCAAGUACUACAUCCAUAACAGAAUUAUAUUAAAAAAAGGGAAAAAAAAUGUUUUCACACAUCUUCUGUGGUAGUUUGAGUAUGUUACCAGCAAUUAAAAAAGCAAAAUAAACAGCAAGCGUUUUGUAUUUAUUCCAGAUAAUUCUUAGCGACAAAAUCCACAAAAACAAUUCAGUUACACUUAGUUGACAAUUACAUUUUUACCCAUGUUUCUUUUAAACUCUUCUUGGUUUUAGAUUACAGUAGCAUGGGAUGGGGAUUUUUUUUUUAAAUGACAACACAUCAACUAAACCAACUCAGGUGGUUUUGUUAAGUCUCUGAUGUCAUUAGCCUCAUAUGUCACAUGAACCUGAAAUCUUAAACACUCUGUGACGUCAUGGUUGUCAUAUUUCACAAACUUGAAAUCUUAAACACUCUGUGACGUCAUGGUCAUCAUAUGUCACAUGAACCUGAAAUCUUAAACACUCUGUGACGUCAUGGUUGUCAUAUUUCACAAACUUGAAAUCUUAAACACUCUGUGACGUCAUGGUCAUCAUAUGUCACAUAAACUUGAAAUCUUAAACACUCUGUGACGUCAUGGUCGUCAUAUGUCACAUAAACUUGAAAUCUUAAACACUCUGGUCUUCAUUUGUCACCUAAACCUGACAAGUCCUCAUAUGUACCAUAAAAAUCAGGUUCAGAAAAAAACAAAAGAGUUGCAAAAAUCUCAAUAGACCACUGUGUUUCUAAAAUUCUGGUUCACUAACCGUCUGAUUCCCAGGCCUGCAGGACCAUUGGAAAGGCAUGUCCCCAUAUGUCACGUUUUUGUCAUAAGUCCUCAUAUGUCACCCAAACACGUAUGUGUGUGUGUGUGUGUGUGUG